rnacentral:misc_RNA from 1 species
AAGGAUUCAGAUGACUUAAAUUGAAGUAUGAUGUCCUAAUUUGUCUAAGAUGAGGACCGAUUUGGGCAUUUGGCGAGAGAGAAUGAGUUCAUCAGACGAGAGAAACAAGAAAGCUAGAAAUACCAGAGAAAUAGACAGGUUGAGCAAUUUACCAGACGUACUUAUUCAUCAUCUCUUCUCUUUCCUCGGCGCCAAACAAGUAAUCCAAACUUGUUUGCUGUCCAAGAGAUGGAGACAUUUAUGGGUUUCUCUGCCUCAUCUCAAUUUGAUGCUCAAUCCUUCAAAACAAAAGCAAAAUUUCAAAAUUUCGUUCGCAAAGUCCUGUCUUUACGUUGCGAUAAACCCAUUUUUGGCGGCAAGUUCAGCUUCCGUUAUUGUUGUAGAUGGGUGGUGGAUUGGAACCUAAUUAACAAGAUCACAAGCUAUAUAAUGUCCUAUCGGAUUCAGCAUCUUCGCAUGGAGGUAAACACCUUUGGGUUCCCAGAGUCGCUUCUCAACUGUAAAUCAUUUGAAACGCUUGAUUUAAGGUCGUUUGGGAGUUUACCCGAGUCGUAUGCUUUUUCAAUGUUGAAUUCUUUGCAUCUGUCUGACUGCUAUUUUGGAGGUUCGGAUCCAAUUGAUUUUCCUGAUCCCUUUGCUAAUUGUCCCAAUUUGAAGACCUUAAGCGUAAGCCAAUUCAACCUUAAAAACAGAAAGUGUUUCAGAAUACCUGGCUUGCAACUACUUAGCCUUUCAUUGGAGAAUGGAUAUUGUUGGGGUUGUAAAAUUGAGAUUUGUGCUCCAAAACUUACUUCCUUAAGAUAUCAUUGGAUAGGCGGCCCUAUGGAUUUCGGUGAGCUAAAUCUUCCUUCACUUAGUGUUUUGGAUAUUCGAGUUUGUGUUCUUGUUUUUGGACCUUCUGGGCAACCUCUUAGAAUCGUUGAGAAGGUAAAUGACAAUAUGAAUUUGAUCAAUAUGUUCCAAGGAUUCCAAAAUGUGCAAUUUGUCAAACUACAUUCCGAUACCAUUAAGGUAUAGACAUAAACAUGUUACAAGAAUCAGUAGUUUGUUUGCUUUUGAUCUCUUGAAAUUUCUCUGUUUUCUUACAUGAGUUUUGGUGUCUUAUGUGUCUAGAUUCUCACUUUGGUUCCUGGUUUACUAGAAAAACAACCUUCUCCCUUUACUAAUAUGAAGUCCUUGAAAUUGUAUUCGGGAUACAAUAGUAAAUUACCAAGGAUACCUUUUCAUGUAAUGCACUACUUACUUGGUGACUCGGCUAGUGAUGAUUUUGAAAUCGUACAAACUUGAAGGUACAUAUACAUCUAUAUCUUUUAUUUUUCUUGAUUAUAGUGCAUCUGUUAUUUUGCUUCACUUAUUUGUUUUGAGACCUAUCUUUUGCAAUGCAUCAUGAUGCUAAUUUGUUUUUCCUUCUGUCUCAGAUGUGCAAGUUAUACUUUAAAAUUCUUGUUAUUUUAUGCUUUUGUGAUUUUAAGCUGGACAUUUUGUUUUCUUUUAAUGUGCAUGAACAUUUUUAUCUCUCUUGAAUACUAGAGACUAAAGCAAGUGAAUUGUGAUACAAUUGAUUAGUGAUUUCUAAGUCUGCUUGCAAAUUGAUUUUUCCCCAAAAACUUUUGAGCAGGAUUUUAGUAGGCUAUGUUGACCAGUUGUCUUAUUUACAACAAAAGGACCAUAUUGACAUUGGUGGUGCUCUGUAUGGGAAUAUGGGCUGAUUGCUUUUUCUUUCCCUGUGUCUUCCUCCCUCCUAUGUUUGCUUUAUGGGUGAAUUAUUUUUGUGAGAACAGUGGACUCUGAUUUAUGGUUUACCCCUUCACCUCAUUCAAGCCAGAAUUUUUUUUUCCCAGUGCCUCAAUAAUCUAGUCUACCUAGACCAUUUGCAUUACACAUCCUCCAACACUGGCAGUCCAAGAGUACAAGGGCUGAAAGAUAAGCAUGUUUACUGUAUAAUUGUUUAUGAUCUUACCUUUUACCUUUUAUACAUGAACAUUUUUUUCUUUCUUGAAUACUGUAGACUGAAGCAAGUGAAUUGUAAUGCAAUUGAUUAGUGAUUUCUCUGUCGACUUGCAAAUUUAUUUUUUUCCCCUAACAAUUGUGAGCACGAUUUUAGUAGGCUAUGUUAAUCAUAUUGUCUUAUUUCUGGCAAAAGAACAAUAUUGACAUUGUUGGUGCUCCAUAGGGGAAUAUGGGCUGCUUGCUUUUCCUUUCCUGUGUUUUCCUCCCUUCUAUGUUUGCUUUUUAGGUGAAUUUUUUGAGUGAGAACGGUGGACUCUGCUUUAUGGUUUACCACAUCACCCCAGUCAAGCCAGAAUUUUUAUCCAGUGCCUCAAUAAUCUAGUGUACCUAGACCAUUUGCAUUCCACAACGUCACUGCAAGUUUUAAGAGUACAAUGGUUGAAAGAUUGCAUGUUUACUGUAUAAUUUUUUUUUUUUUUUUUAUGAUCUUACCUUUACCUUUUAUAAUGACCAUUUGCUUUCCACAACCUAUGUAAAUGAACCCCUUAAUAUUUUAUGAUCUUACCUUAAAAAAUAAUCUGAAUGCAUAUGAUCAUUCCACUCAAGCCAUCCCUUUGGCCUGUGGCAUCAAUCAUAAGAUUGCACGUUUGCUGCAUAUGAAAUUUCUUUUAGAGUCUACAAGGCCUGCUAAGAUAUUUCAAAAUUGGAUAGAAUGGCCCAUUGGUUGAUUAAUGAUUAGGGUCCUUCCAACUAUGUGCUAGUAUCUUUCGGCUUCGGUAUGUUAUCUUUCUUUACUAGAAUCUGGUAGUUUUGCAUUAAUAAUCUAAUGCUGAUCUCUAUUUUAAAUUUUCAUGAUAUUCAAAAUUUCAAAUUCUCUUCAUGUACUUAACCUUAUUGAUUUCACGUAAGAUUUCUGCAUAUUUCUUUUUCAGUUAUGCUGAGAUGAUCUGAACAGUUUGUGUAAAUCAUAGCAAGCUCUUUUGUUAUUUUGAAUGCAAUGAGAAUUUCAUUCCUACUAAUUAAAAAUAUUUGAGUUGGGUUUUUGUAUGCAGAUUUAUUAAACACAAUUUUUAGGGCAUAAAGUACCAAGUUGAGGUUUCAUGAUGUUGUAAAUAAAAAUAUGUAUGGUAACUGGAUUAGUUGCUCAAGCUUAUCUGGGAUACUCUGUUAGGCCUCCUUGUCAUUUUAUGUAUGGUAUUUUUCAUUGUAACUUAGUUUCUAGCCGACCUUAGGUGAACAAGUCUUAGCUAAUGCUGGUUGGAUGUAUCGUUUCUUUCAUGUUGAUGAUAAUAUAUUGCUUGGGCUAUUUGAAGAUAUAAUUAAUUUGAAGCUUAUUUUGGACUGCUUUGAAAAUUAUUGAUUUUCCUGCAUGAAGAUGCCUACCUGUGAAAUUUAUUUUGGCAUAAAAGACAAACUUACAUAAUAUUGG